rnacentral:rRNA from 1 species
UACGGGGGGGAGCAAGCGUUGUUCGGAUUCAUUGGGCGUAAAGAGCUCGUAGGCGGCUUGUCGCGUCGUCCGUGAAAACCUGCGGCUCAACUGCAGGCUGGCGGUCGAUACGGGCAGGCUGGAGUUCGGUAGGGGAGACUGGAAUUCCUGGUGUAGCGGUGAAAUGCGCAGAUAUCAGGAGGAACACCGGUGGCGAAGGCGGGUCUCUGGGCCGAUACUGACGCUGUGGAGCGAAAGCGUGGGGAGCGAACAGG